CCUUGCGCUAAUCUCCGAGCCUAGGUCGGAUUAGCUAGUUGGUGAGGUAAUGGCUCACCAAGGCGACGAUCCGUAACUGGUCUGAGAGGAUGAUCAGUCACACUGGAACUGAGACACGGUCCAGACUCCUACGGGAGGCAGCAGUGGGGAAUAUUGGACAAUGGGCGAAAGCCUGAUCCAGCCAUGCCGCGUGUGUGAAGAAGGUCUUCGGAUUGUAAAGCACUUUAAGUUGGGAGGAAGGGCAUUAACCUAAUACGUUAGUGUUUUGACGUUACCGACAGAAUAAGCACCGGCUAACUUCGUGCCAGCAGCCGCGGUAAUACGAAGGGUGCAAGCGUUAAUCGGAAUUACUGGGCGUAAAGCGCGCGUAGGUGGUUUGUUAAGUUGGAUGUGAAAGCCCCGGGCUCAACCUGGGAACUGCAUCCAAAACUGGCAAGCUAGAGUAUGGCAGAGGGUGGUGGAGUUUCCUGUGUAGCGGUGAAAUGCGUAUUUAUAGGAAGGAACACCAGUGGCGAAGGCGACCACCUGGGCUAUUACUGACACUGAGGGUGCGAAAGCUUGGGGGAGCAAACAGGAUUAAAUACCCUGGUUAGUCCA
rnacentral:rRNA from 1 species